ACCUCGUCGACGCCGGCUCGCCCGCGCUUUUCAGGUUCCGCGUUUCCUCCGGGAGGUUCUGUCUGCGAGAAGGUUGCUCGCUUAGUUUGAUCCAGCGGCAGUGGUCCUUCCCUCAGUGUGGAAAUGCCUGUUAAAAGAUCACUGAAAUUGGAUGAUCCGUUUGAAGCACAUUCAUUUGAGCCUUCAAGAAUCACAAGGAAAAGAGGUUUUACAAAUUAUUCUCCAUCAACUGGAACUUGUCGAUUGAGCCCAUAUGCUUCUCCCACAAACUCUAAAGAACAAGAGCACAAAAAUGGACCUACAAAUGGAAAGAAAAAAAAAUUGAAUCAUCUCAGUUUAACCCAGAGAAAUAAAUCUACGACAAAAGAUGAUGAAUUAAUGGUGUUGCUAUCUAAAGUUGAGAAAUCAUCAGAGGAAAUCAUGGAAAUAACGCAAAGUUUAAGUAUCACUCAGGCUUUGAAGGACAGUAGAAAGCUUCAGAAUCUCAUUGGCAUCUCUUAUGGACCAUGUUUCUUAAAAAGAGAAAUGAAGAAAACGAAAGAACUAAGUAAGAAGACUAUGAGUUUACAAUGGUGUCUCUCCAUUCCUUGUUUUGACAAAAGUAAUAAAACAAAAACUGUUUGAAAAGAAGAGUUCAGAACUUUCUAACAAAGAGUUACGUCAUCUUGACAGCUAUGAAUUCCUGAAGGCCAUUUUAAAUUGAGGCAUUCAGAAGAAGUGUAUUCACUCUGAACACCAACUUCUGCAUCUGCCUGAUCAUAUUUAAAGGAACAGAAGAAAUGUUUGUAAUUAAUCUGCCCAGUAAAUACCAGAUCACAGCACUAGGCAGGUGCAUGUCUAGAUAAAAUUUCUUGCAGCUAAUUUAAACUUUCUACACACACCAGUAGAUAAUCUCAAUGUAAAUAAUACAUUUCUUCUUGACCCUUUAAUGAAUAAGCCAACAUGUAGACAAGUAUCUUGACUUUUAUUCUAUAUCAUGUAUGUUUCUGUAAACUUUUAGCAUUUGUGGAUAGAUUUAAUAAAGCAUUUAUGAAAAUGGCA